UAAUUUGAUGAAAAAAAUAAAAUUAUCAACUAAAAUAAAUGUCAACUAAGAUUUAUUUUAAUUAAUAAUUUUAAAUAUUUAUCAGUCAAAUUCAUGUAUUUCCAAAAUCAAUUAAUAAUUUUAUUUUAUUUAAUAAAUACAAUAUAUAUAAUAUAUAUUUUUGAAAAAAUUGAAGAGCCCCAAUGAAAUAGUGGUCCUAGGCAUAGGCCUUAGGCCUACCUUGAGCCGGCCCUGUCCACUCAAGCUCGAGCAUGCCACAAUAUCACACACUAUAGUGCUCAGGGAUGUUACCCACUCGAGCUCGGGCAUGCAGGGUUAUUACUGUGUCGAGAUGUCACUGUGCUCAGGGAGGCUAUGGUGUCGGGAUGCCACAGUGUCCGGGUUAUUAAACACUCGGGAACGCCAUCCCACUCGAGUAAGGUUGCUUGAGCACUCGGGAGCACAACAAUGCUCGGGAGCGUCACCCACUCAAGCUCGGGCGCCACCCACUAAGGCUUAAUACCAAUGGUACUUAAAAUUGGGUUAAUCAGGAGUUGCUUUGAUGAGUCUUAGUUUGAUGAGUAUUAAAAUUGAAGAGCCCCAAUGAAAUAGUGGUCCUAGGCAUAGGCCUUAGGCCUACCUUGAGCCGGCCCUGUCCACUCAAGCUCGAGCAUGCCACAAUAUCACACACUAUAGUGCUCCGGGAUGUUACCCACUCGAGCUCGGGCAUGUAGGGUUAUUACUGUGUCGAAAUGUCACUGUGCUCAGGGAGGCUAUGGUGUCGGGAUGCCACAGUGUCCGGGUUAUUAAGCACUUGGGAACGCUAUCCCACUCGAGUUAGGUUGCUUGAGCACUCGGGAGCACAACAAUGCUCGGGAGCGUCACCCACUCAAGCUCGGGCGCCACCCACUCAGGCUUAAUACCAAUGGUACUUAAAAUUGGGUUAAUCAGGAGUUGCUUUGAUGAGUCUUAGUUUGUUCUACGCGGAUUCUAUAUUGUCCUAGUCAAGGGAUCUCCUACAUGGAAUUGUAUUGAUUGAGUCAAGGGCCGCCACAUGGACCCUUAUUUACCUCAACAUCAAUAACGUUUGAAGAUAUUAUGUUGAUGCAGCGGCAGGUGCAAGUACUACUUUUGGUAAUCUCAUGCUCCCUAUCUAGGAAGGUCGUUCGGCUAAGAUUGAAUAAGCCACCAUGAUUUAUCCCUUUCCAGAGUGUGUGGGACCGCUCUGGAGGACCCGUUAAGGUGACGAUUUCACCUUUGCCACCAAAAGAUAUUAUGUUUCCAAUAAUAUGCUAAAGCCAUUCCAUUCUGAUGUCUCAACAUACUCUUCAGACUUGUGUACGACAUGAAUCACCCCGUUGCAAUCAGAAGCCAUGAACAUACUACAUGUUCCUGCCUGAGAUCACCGAUAAAUGAGUCAUCGGUGAGCUGGCGUUGAUGUUGACCAUAUCAUUGAACGCCAAUGAGGAAGAGAGGGUGCAAGUGCCGAAGGCUCAAGAACACUCGUGAAACCUUUGCCCGCAAAUGCAGACUUCUUUUAUAGCAUUGUUGAAACAAUAUUUUUCUCUUCAUUAAUCGGGUGUCGUAUCAUAGUAGAGCAAAUGCCCCAUUAGUGUAUCGCUAUAGUAUCACCAUCAUAUCAUACCAUCAUAUCAUCCACGUUCUGUAUUGAUAGACCACUCCAUGUGUUUUAGCACACCACUUGUUAUCCCAUAUAUUAUGCCAAUUCAUAGGAUACGGAAGUAAUUGGGGUUCAAAGGCCCUGGCCUAUUAAGUCAGAAUGACAAGAUCAAAGGAGUGUGCCAGUGAUCUUGUAGGCAGGAGCAUCCAGUCGGUGGGACUAAGUGGAUAGGAGAUGAGUGUUGGGCAAUAAUGCCGAGCAAAUAAAUGAGCGUCCAGGAGCUGAGCCCAAAGAGUCGGGUAGACCAAUCUGAAGGAGUAGGGGGGAACUGAGCCCAAGGAGUUGGGUAGACCAACCUGAAGCAGUUGGAGGAGUUGAGCCCCAGGAGUCGGGUAGAUUGAACUGAAAGUGUCGGGGGAGGAGUUGGGUAGACUGACAUGAAGGAGUUGGGGGAGCUGAGUCCAAGGAGUCGGGUAGACCGAUCUGGAGGAGUCCAGGGAGCUGCACCCAAGGUGUUGGGUAGAUCGACCUGAAGGAGUCGGGGGAGUUGAGCUCCAGGAGUCGGGUAGAUUGAACUGCAAGAGUCGGGGGAGGAGUUGGGUAGACUGACUUGAAGGAGUUGGGGGAGCUAAGCCCUAGGAGUCGGGUAGACCAAUCUAAAGGAGUCUAGGGAGUUGAGCCCAAGGAGUUGGUUAGAUUGGCCUGAAGGAGUCGGGGGAGCUGAGCCCAAGGAGCUGGGUAGAUCGACCUAAUGGAGUUAGGCAGAUUGAACUGAAGGAGUCGGUGAGAGCUACUUUGACUUCUACCUCUGUUAGACCUUUGACCAGCCAAUAAGGCCAGACCUCGCCACGCAUAAGCCUCUGUUAACUUCUGUAUCACUAACCUCCCCACCAAGUCUUGCUGAAGGAGACCUGAAUUCGACUGACUGGAUUGCAACAUGAUUUAAUAUGCCCGCUGACUCGCUCCCUAGGGCUGACAUGGUCGACAAAGCUUAUCUCUCCAUCAGUCCUUGCCUUGGAAAUAUACGAGUCAUGCGCCAUUAAUGCAAGUAAUACGAGUGUUUACAUAUCUGGAACAUCAUUAGCCUGUCAUGUCGAUCAUCAAUGCUAACUCAUCUGAGGUUGCCAUAUGGCGACAUCAUGCCAAGGAUAUCAAAUCGAGGGAACUAUUGAGAUUCUAUUGAUUCGGAGGCUUGAUUCGACAUUUCGACGCAAUAGCUCACCUUGUCUUCUAAAUCGGAUGGCUAAGAAAAGCAGGUUCGGGCUUUAUUAGGGUUAGGAGGGGAGAAUGUCGUCGCAUUCUCCUUCAUCGUCUUUAAGCUUCAGCAACAACAACCCUCAACAAUCUUCAGCGUUAUUUCCUUGCUGUAAGUUUUCUUCGUCCCUAGGUGUUCAGACCUUCGUUGCGAUUUUCUUCUCUCGUCUCUCUGGUAUGCCCUUCUUCCAUCCAUGGUUGCUGAGAGUAUUUUCACUCUUUGGUAUACAUCUAUGGAGUCGGAUUUCAAGAGGGAGACCUAGACUAAUUGCGGUUAUAGUUCCAAAUUUUGGCCGACUAUCGAUUAGUGAUCUCUAGAGCUAUCAACCGACCACUUCUCCCUCCGAUUGGUUUUGUCACCUUUUUUAGGGGUUAACUAUUAGGCAACCUCUGAUUCCUUGUCCGUACGGAGGUUUAUCAGUACUUCCACAUUCUUUUCCAACAGUUAGCUACUAACUCUUUUCGACUAUUUUGUGGAGUGGUCAUCGUAUUCGUCUGUACCACAUAUCUCUUACACCUUGAGUCUUCCAUUAUUUCUUCUACCCGAAGAAGAUGAAUGUUGGGGUCUUCUACUUCACAGCCCAACCCUGUUGUUGCUUCCUAGAUCAAAUAUCAACUUUACGCAAGGGAUGAAAAUCUUAACAUGUAUUCGUCCGACCCCACUCCCUUUGCGUGACCCAUCGAUUGACAAAUGGAAUUACCCAAGCCAUCGAGCUAAUACAAGUCGAAGCCAACAUAUCUAACAGUAGCAACAACUUAUCUGACCUUCAAUUCGACAUCAAGCUCUUGCUCGAGGACGGUCUUCUCUUCCACUUCGGGUUGAGCCCGAUUGAUGUUGAGCUCCAGUUCUCUUUGGGUAAGAAAAAUUCUAUCUUUGCUUUACAUAAUAGCUAGCUGAAGAUUUCCUUUUUUGUACAACUUAAACCAUGUGGAAGGCCUCUAUGAACAAAACCUUAAAAUUUAGCAACACCGAACUAGAAGAAUGUGUGGCUCCCAAUUAGUUUCUCGAGCAAUGCGGAGGCUAAUGCGGGAGAGUUGUUGCCGCCACAUCCUUCCAUGGGGGUCAUAGCCAUGUCCUUUGAGGAGUCAUAAGAAUCCUUGAGUAUUACUUGGAAAAGACAUCGACCUCAAGAACCCAAGGUUGAAUUGAGUGCAUCAAUCUAGCCCCGAUGCCUCCUUGUUCCCUCGGAGUGGAGUCUCCUCAAGUUGUGUCGAAUACUCAUCUGAGUGAGACAGGGUCGCUCAAGCUUCCUUCUCGGAGUGACGGCCCAAUUGAGCUCCAAGGGGAAGAAGACCCUCCUCCUGGGUCACUGUCUUCUAUCACAAUAAGGCUAAUCAACCAGAUGGCGAAGACCUGAAUUUACAUGACUGACAAUGUGAAGCAUAGAUCCUUUAGGGGCUUGACGGAUGCGUUCUCUAUAGACCUGACAGGGGUGUGGGCCGUGGGUAUGAAGUUGUCCUCCGAGUGCCUAAGUUUCUCCAAUCGUAUCGAGCGAUGCAAACUUGAGUGGACAAGUUGGACGCUCAGCGGGCCCCACCUAGUCAAGAAUUGGAGGAUGUGAGGGCUGAGGCAGAGCAUCUAAAGGCCGAGGUUUUGACUCUUGCGGAGCAAGGGCACCAAAUAUGGCAGGAGUUGGACGUGAUGAGGAAGGAAGCUACCUUGGAUCAAUCGAAGGUGGCCACCCUCUAGAAACAAGCGGUUGAACUCCAAGAUAGUGUGAAGAAGGCCAGAUCCUAAGCAUCUUCUAAGAAGAAAAAAAAAAGAAGGCACUCGUUGACCUAGAGGCGAAGAAAAUCAAGUGGGGGUCCAAGACAAAGACCCUCAAGGCCAAGCUAGGAGGCAAAGUGGCAAAGCUUGUCGCCAAGAAUGUGUUGCUGGAGAGUUAGAGGGCGGAGUUGGAGGCCCAAAAAGCAGAUUCAUAGAGCUACUGAGCUGAGGUGGUGGAGCACUGGGUUGCCAAGAAGACGGAGUCUCUACGAUCAUCUUAGCACUUGCACUGUCAGCAUGAUCACAUAUGGUGCUGAGGGUGCGGUCAAACGACUUCUGUAGCUUGUAAUGUCCCUUGGUGUUUAGUACACUUUUUUAAAUUUAAAUGGAACAUUUGCUUUCCUCAAAAUCCUUUGUUCUGUUGGGUUAAAACCCUCAGUGAGGGAGUUGACAAGGAGAGUUCAACUUAGGAGUUAAUGAGGAGAGUCCGAUUGAGGAGUAGAGGAGGAGAAGACAUCGCUCUGAUAUCAAAAUAAAAUGUGUGGUAGAAAUAAACAAGCUAAAACAACCAAUACUCAAGACGAUCCUUGUAAUCCUUUGUAAAAUUUCCACUAGUAUUGCAUAACAAGUUCUUUGCUUGCUUGUGCUUGUUUAUCUUGUUUAUUUCUACCACGCAUUUUAUUUUGGUAUCAGAGUAAUGUCUAGCUAAAAUCUUUACAGGUACUCUGGUGAAAGCAUCAUGAGGUAUUGAUCUACUAUCUUUAUGAAUUACUCUACCAUUUAGAUAUUGGUUACAUAAGCUUGCAAAUUGAAUAUAUAAAUGUUACUAUGGUAGACUUUAGUAAGGUCAUUAUGAAGAAGAAAGAAGACCUGGAACUUGGUACCAUAGUUAACAUGUUAGAAUAUUUUGAUUUGCAAUUUUAUAUUAACCAUGUCUGAAAGGUUCCAACAAGAAAUAAAAGAUUGGUAUCAACACUCAAGACCAACUGAUCUAGAGUACCUGAACCUUGCAACUGAGGUAAAAUUCAAAGACAUUGCUCAUAACAUAGACGUAGUUUAUGAUCGUAUAUCACUACAUUCCAAAGUAUCCCUGAAGCAGUACCAUAUUCUACUCAACACCAUCAAAGAAAAUCAUCUGGAGCUAACAAAAUCUGUGGAUGAAUCUGUCAAAAAUCAACAAAAAUUACAAAAGGCAGUAUUUGAAUUACAGAAAGAAUUGUUAGUUUCUAAACCUCUUACAACCAAGGAUAUAAGAGAAUUAGUGACUGAGAUUACAAAGCAACCACGACGAAUUGAAGAACAGGCGGUGCUUUUUCGGGAAAAACUUCAAGAACAAAUUAAGCAAAUACAGGAGGUGGUACGAGAUAUAAAGAAGCAAUUUGCAUGAGGCUCCCUGCAUCUUCAACUUCAAAGGAAUAUCUUGACGCAUUAGAAAAUACAGAAACUAUUAGCAGCCCUGCUAUUGGUUUUAUCUUUGCCAAAGAAGCCGGAGCAAAAGAUAUUAAUAGACAAAAUAAUACUAUUAUAGAAUUAUUGCUGUCUAUCAAUUCAAAGUUUGGUCUAAUUCUCAAAAAACCCAUUGAAUCUAAUAAUCAAGUUGCAGAUCUUGCUAAACAGCUUGAAGGACUGAAUCUUGGGAAGACCAAAGUCAAAAAAACCAGAACCUUUCUUCGUUUAUAAAGACCCACUGAUCAUCCUAAAGGAAGAAAAGGAGAAAUUAAAGGGAGAAGAACCCAAGGAGAAUGACGAACAGAGCAAGGCCUAAUAUUACUGAAGUAAUAACAGAGGCUGAUCAUCCUGUAGUACCAUCCCAAGAAGAUCAAAUUAGAAGUUAUCGAACAAUGGCAAGAUUAAGAUAUGAAGCACAAAGAAGACUUUCUGGACGAAGGAGUAACACUAGAACCCUUGAAAGCCAAUUAAAUCCAGAAGCAGAAUUAGAGUUAUCUCAACAACGAAGGACAUCUCUGGUACCAGCUGAAACACUUUAUAGUACUCAUUGGUCAGAACCCAGACAUAGAGUUUAUCAGCACUAUUCUGAAACCAGAAUCCUAGUUACGGAAGGACAUCGGAAUUUACCCCUAAUUAAUCCAGAAAGCUAUUCAAUACUUCGACGGGAAGGUAUGCAACUAACCCAUCUAGGGUUAGUUAUGAUUCGAAUGCAUGCCCUUCAUCGCAGAAAUACAGGCACUAAUGCUCUAAUAGUCCUAAGGGACACAAGAUGGAGUGAUGAUAGAUCAGUCAUUGGCGUUAUGGAAAUAGAUCUAUCUGAAGGUACCCAGUUAGUUUACAUUGCCCCAAAAUUUAUUAAUCAGUAUUGAUGAUUUCUUUCAUCAUAUUGAACUUGCUAUUCAAACACAUGGGUAUGAAAACUGGAAUUCAGCUGAAAGUAAUUUAUUAAUAACAAGAGGAUUGAUAGGGAGAUUGACUAAUACUAGUCAUGUUGGAUUUCGAUAUAACAUUCAAAAUGUAGCAGAUUAUCUGGCUAGUACAGGAAUCAAUGCAGUACCAGCAACUCCACGAACAACAACAGAGCUACAAGGAAUGAGGUGGAUAUUACAACCACCUUUGAUAUCUCAAAUCAGAAAUCCACAGGCUGUACGCACAACUACCCUGAUGGAUGGUUCAAUAUCAAAUAAUUGCAUAUGCUGUGUGUAGUCUAGUAAUUCCCGUAUAAUAUCUUCUUGUUUUUGGUAAGGAGGUACUAUUGGUAUUUCUUUGUAUGGGAUGGUUUUGCCUAAGCAAUACUUAGCGCAAGAUGGGCAAGUUGUCAUUCUGCAAUUUAGACAAUGAAUUCGCAUGGUAUUAGUUGUAAUCAUUUUGCAGAAAGUACAAUAAAGAUUCUUGGAAUUCGAUACGGUGGUAUUUUCCUCCUAAUUAUGUUGGCAGUUUUUCAUUAGGUCACCCACAUAGACACGGGAUCGCCAUCCACGUUCUUCAUCUCCCAUCAUGAAAACUCCUUCCCAUUGUAAAUCAUCUAGAGCAUAUCUUGCAUAAUUGAUAGGGCCGACUUCUCCUUCUGAAAGGCUACAAAUAGCAUCUGAAUCAGGUUCAUUUAAAUCAAGAGAUAAUAUAUCAUACUCAGAAGAUAAGUCUAAUUGAUCCAUGAUGGCUGCUCUGGCAAUAUUUCCUGUUUUUCUUUUACAGUCCCUAGCAAAAUGUCCUGGCUCUCCACAAAUAAAACAUUUGCAUUUGUGCUGUUGUUCUGCUUUCUUUUUUUUGAAAACUCGGACGUGUAUCAUGUGGGGUUUCCCUUUGUAAGUUUUUGACUUUCGUAAGCUAAAUUUCUUUUGCUUUCCUUCAUAGUUACCAGGGAUUGGUAUCUUGCUAUAAAAGGUCAAAUCUUUAACACUUCUCUGGAUUGCUGCCUUUUUACAAAUUUCUGCAAGAUAUUGAUA